GAUGAACGCUGGCGGCGUGCCUAAUACAUGCAAGUCGAGCGAACAGACGAGGAGCUUGCUCCUCUGACGUUAGCGGCGGACGGGUGAGUAACACGUGGAUACCCUACCUAUAAGACUGGGAUAACUUCGGGAAACCGGAGCUAAUACCGGAUAAUAUAUUGAACCGCAUGGUUCAAUAGUGAAAGACGGUUUUGCUGUCACUUAUAGAUGGAUCCGCGCCGCAUUAGCUAGUUGGUAAGGUAACGGCUUACCACGGCGACUAUGCGUAGCCGACCUGUGAGGGUGAUCGGCCACACGGGAACUGAGACACGGUCCAGACUCCUACGGGAGGCAGCAGUAGGGAAUCGUCCGCAAUGGGCGAAAGCCUGGCGGAGCAACGCCGCGUGAGUGAUGAAGGUCUUCGGAUCGGAAAACUCUGUUAGUAGGGAAGAACAAAUGUGUAAGGAACUAUGCACGUCUUGACGGUACCUAAUCAGAAAGCCACGGCUAACUACGUG
rnacentral:rRNA from 1 species